rnacentral:lncRNA from 1 species
ACGAACGGCCACCGCCACAGCACGCACCUGUGUCUGUCCUGCGUCAAACCUCCAUUAGAUGGUGUUAUCGCCCAGUAGGACAGACCGUGGGUGUCGUCGUCGCCUGUAGAAGGUCUCCAUCGGACGAGGGUCUCUUGGAGCUCGUGGCAUCACCGUCUCUUCAAGCUCUCUUCUAUCGUCAUCUCCUCUUCGAGCUCUCCUCAGACGCACCUGUGCGUCAAACCUCCAUUAGAUGGUGUUAUCGCCCAGUAGGACAGACCGUGGGUGUCGUCGUCGCCUGUAGAAGGUCUCCAUCGGACGAGGGUCUCUUGGAGCUCGUGGCAUCACCGUCUCUUCAAGCUCUC